GCGGAAGUGGCGGAACUGGCAGACGCGCCAGACUAAGGAUCUGGUGGAGUAAAAUCCGUGGAGGUUCGAGUCCUCUCUUCCGCA
rnacentral:tRNA from 2 species